UCUACUCAUACCAUAUGAAGCUCUCACUGCUCACAUGUAAGUUUUUUAUGUCUUGUAGGUUUCUUUGGACUUUGUUAAAAGUCUGUAUGCAAAGUUCAUAUAUUGGGAUGAAGAUAUGUAUGACCUGGAAAAUGACACACCUGCCCAUGCAUCAAAUUUCAGCGCAGCAAUUAGUGAAGACUUGGGGCAGGUUGAAUAUAUUUUGACAAAUAAUGGGAACAUUGACUGAUAAUAAGAUGAUCUUCAGAAGAUGCUGUGUGAACCAGCCCACUCACUGUUCAGGUAAUUCAGUCUUACUCCUUCCUGCAUUGUUCUGCAGAUUACUACUACCCUUCUUGUUUGGGAGUAAAUUUAAUCACUAUUUUCCUGUUGUGUGCGUAUCAGAGACCUUUGGAGAGGAUUAAUUUCAGGGGAUGAUGCAAACCAUUGAUCUAGGAGCAUCAUACUGUAAUUUGGAUGCCGCGGGAUAAUAAGGUGUAGUGGAGUACAUGAAUGUGAAUUAACUACUUCAGACAACACCUUGGCAAGUCACCUUCUAUGGUUGCAGGUUCUGAUAGUUCAGUUUAUCUACCUUGUGCCGAUUGAUUGGAUAUGUUGGAUGUAAUACAUGCUCACAUCUCACGUCAUCUAAUUGUCCCAUGAAAUUUUGGUGAAUUUCGUAAUUUCUGUUAUGUGCUUGUAAUCAUUUCAUUUUGGCAUGAGUACAAAUGGAUGCUUUGUCCCUUUUGCAAUUAUGCCAUGGCCACGGGUGAAGCAGGUAUGCACUCUGCAAAUGAUUAUGCGCUGAUAGAAACUGAAUCUGUUGUAUAAGAGGCAUUCACUUUUUGAUCAGGCUUUGCUUAUCUCCUUUUUCUUUCUGUUAUCUUUGGUGAGGGGCCUUGCCUGGUAAUCUGCAUGCAACUCUGAUGCCCUACUCAAUAGUCUAUUUGGGUAAGUCCCACAAUUCACUAAAUAUAUCUAAGCUGUCCGACAAUAUUGAUGAAACUAUUUUAGCCAACAUAGAUUGUAACCUCCCAUCAUACUGAAGUGCAACCAAUUCUUUAUCUCA